AUUGAACGCUGGCGGCAGGCCUAACACAUGCAAGUCGAGCGGACGAAGGGAGCUUGCUCCUGGAUUCAGCGGCGGACGGGUGGGUAAUGCCUAGGAAUCUGCCUGGUAGUGGGGGAUAACGUCCGGAAACGGGCGCUAAUACCGCAUACGUCCUGAGGGAGAAAGUGGGGGUUCUUCGGACCUCACGCUAUCAGAUGAGCCUAGGUCGGAUUAGCUAGUUGGUGGGGUAAAGGCCUACCAAGGCGACGAUCCGUAACAGGUCUGAGAGGAUGAUCAGUCACACUGGAACUGAGACACGGUCCAGACUCCUACGGGAGGCAGCAGUGGGGAAUAUUGGACAAUGGGCGAAAGCCUGAUGCAGCCAUGCCGCGUGUGUGAAGAAGGUCUUCGGAUUGUAAAGCACUUUAAGUUGGGAGGAAGGGCAGUAAGUUAAUACCUUGCUGUUUUGACGUUACCAACAGAAUAAGCACCGGCUAACUUCGUG
rnacentral:rRNA from 1 species